rnacentral:rRNA from 1 species
UACGUAGGGACCGAGCGUUGACCGGAAUCAUUGGGCGUAAAGAGCGUGUAGGUGGCCACUUAAGUCCUGCGUGAAAUCUUGCGGCUCAACCGCAAGCGGUCGUGGGAAACUGGGUGGCUAGAGUGCGGGAGAGGAGAGUGGAAUUCCUGGUGUAGCGGUGGAAUGCGCAGAUAUCAGGAAGAACACCCGUGGCGAAGGCGGCUCUCUGGAACGCAACUGACGCUGAGACGCGAAAGCGUGGGGAGCAAACAGG